AACGAACGCUGGCGGCAUGCCUAACACAUGCAAGUCGAACGAGACCUUCGGGUCUAGUGGCGCACGGGUGCGUAACGCGUGGGAACCUGCCCUUAGGUUCGGAAUAGCUCCCCGAAAGGGGUGCUAAUACCGGAUAAUGUCUUCGGACCAAAGAUUUAUCGCCUUUGGAUGGGCCCGCGUUGGAUUAGCUAGUUGGUAGGGUAAAAGCCUACCAAGGCGACGAUCCAUAGCUGGUCUGAGAGGAUGAUCAGCCACACUGGGACUGAGACACGGCCCAGACUCCUACGGGAGGCAGCAGUGGGGAAUAUUGGACAAUGGGCGAAAGCCUGAUCCAGCAAUGCCGCGUGAGUGAUGAAGGCCUUAGGGUUGUAAAGCUCUUUUACCCGGGAUGAUAAUGACAGUACCGGGAGAAUAAGCUCCGGCUAACCCCGUG
rnacentral:rRNA from 1 species